AUGGUGGCUUGUGGGCGGAUGUUUCUCAGACCUAAGUUGUUGCCGCUGGACCGUGGUUACAUUCAUCCUAGCUUGGAGGAAACGGUGUGGGUGGGUAUGCAUGUGCAGGGCGAAGAAGUGGACGAAGGCCGAAGAAGCAAUCUCUGCCUCCCUAUCGCUGCGUCCUGCUCCUCAAUAUGUCACCUUAGUCAUGGCCGCCUUAUCCCUCAUGCUGCUGAUUUGAAUCUGCCCUACUCUUCUUCUCCUAGACUGCUCGAGCGCUUCAGCGGGUGCCUUGCCGACGACAGGGAAGGAAGGACCAGAAAGCCACGAAAUUGA
rnacentral:rRNA from 1 species